UAAAAGUUUCAGCAGGCAGAUCCAUUUUCUGCCACCGAAUACAUUAGCAUGGGAUAAUGGAAUAGGACCCUGUCCUCCUAUUUUCAGUUGGUUUUGGCAGCGCGAGGACUAGGGUAAUGAUUAAUAGGGAUAGUUGGGGGCAUUAAUAUUUAAUUGUCAGAGGUGAAAUUCUUGGAUUUAUGAAAGAUUAACUUCUGCGAAAGCAUCUGCCAAGGAUGUUUUCAUUAAUCAAGAACGAAAGUUAGGGGAUCGAAGACGAUCAGAUACCGUCGUAGUCUUAACCAUAAACGAUGCCGACCAGCGAUUAGGAGACGUUGAAUACAAAACACCACCAUCGGUGCGGUCGUCCUUGGCGUCGGUCUUUCGGGGCCGGCGCGGGGACGGCUUAGCCCGGUGGCACCGGUGAAUGACUCCCCUAGCAGCUUGAGAGAA
rnacentral:rRNA from 1 species